GGUAGUCCACGCCGUAAACGAUGAACACUAGUUGUUGCGGGUAUUGACCCCUGCAGUGACGACGCCAACGCAUUAAGUGUUCCGCCUGGGGAGUACGGCCGCAAGGCUAAAACUCAAAGGAAUUGACGGGGCCCGCACAAGCGGUGGAGUAUGUGGUUUAAUUCGACGCAACGCGCAGAACCUUACCCGGUCUUGACAUCGAAGGAAUCCUUUGGAGACAGAGGAGUAUCUAGCAAUAGAACCUGAAGACAGGUGCUGCAUGGCUGUCGUCAGCUCGUGUCGUGAGAUGUUGGGUUAAG
rnacentral:rRNA from 1 species